rnacentral:rRNA from 1 species
AACGCGAAGAACCUUACCGGGGCUUGACAUCCCGCGCUAUCCUAGGAGACUAGGUUUCCGGGCAACCGGACGCGGAGACAGGUGCUGCAUGGCUGUCGUCAGCUCGUGCCGUGAGGUGUUGGGUUAAGUCCCGCAACGAGCGCAACCCUUGCCGUGUGUUGGUCGCAAGAUCUCUCACGCGGGACCGCCGGUGACAAGCCGGAGGAAGGUGGGGAUGACGUCAAGUCAGCAUGGCCCUUACGUCCCGGGCUACACACGUGCUACAAUGGUGGUGACAAUGGGUCGCAAGCGUGCGAACGCAAGCUAAUCUCCAAAAGCCAUCUCAGUUCGGAUUGCACUCUGCAACUCGAGUGCAUGAAGUCGGAAUCGCUAGUAAUCGUGGAUCAGCAUGCCACGGUGAAUACGUUCCCGGGCCUUGUACACACCGCUAGUC